rnacentral:rRNA from 1 species
CUACGGGCCGCAGCAGUGGGGAAUAUUGCACAAUGGGCGCAAGCCUGAUGCAGCAACGCCGCGUGAGGGAUGAAGGCCUUCGGGUUGUAAACCUCUUUUAGCAGGGAAGAAGCGAAAGUGACGGUACCUGCAGAAAAAUCACCGGCUAACUACGUGCCAGCAGCCGGGGUAAUACGUAGGGUGCAAGCGUUGUCCGGAAUUAUUGGGCGUAAAGAGCUCGUAGGCGGUUUGUCACGUCUGCUGUGAAAAUCCAAGGCUCAACCUUGGACUUGCAGUGGGUACGGGCAGGCUAGAGUGCGGUAGGGGAGAUGGGAAUUCCGGGUGUAGCGGUGGAAUGCGCAGAUAUCAGGAGGAACACCAAUGGCGAAGGCACAUCUCUGGGCCGUAACUGACGCUGAGGAGCGAAAGCGUGGGGAGCGAACAGGAUUAGAUACCCCAGUAGUC